rnacentral:rRNA from 1 species
AUUGGAACGCUGGCGGCAGGCCUAACACAUGCAAGUCGAGCGGAUGAAGGGGAGCUUGCUCCCCGAUUCAGCGGCGGACGGGUGAGUAAUGCCUAGGAAUCUGCCUGGUAGUGGGGGACAACGUUCCGAAAGGAGCGCUAAUACCGCAUACGUCCUACGGGAGAAAGUGGGGGAUCUCGGACCUCACGCUAUCAGAUGAGCCUAGGUCGGAUUAGCUAGUAGGUGGGGUAAUGGCUCACCUAGGCGACGAUCCGUUACUGGUCUGAGAGGAUGAUCAGUCACCUGGGAACUGAGACUCGGUCCAAGAUCCUACGGGAGGCAGCAGUGGGGAAUAUUGGCAAGGGCGAAAGCCUGAUCCAGCCAUGCCGCGUGUGUGAAGAAGGUCUUCGGAUUGUAAAGCACUUUAAGUUGGGAAGAAGGGCAGUAAGUUAUAACUUGCUGUUUGACGUUACCAC